CCUCUACCCUACACAGUCUGUCUGGUUCCUCUACCCUACACAGUCUGUCUGGUUCCUCUACCCUACACAGUCUGUCUGGUUCCUCUACCCUACACAAUCUGUCUGGUUCCUCUACCCUACACAGUCUGUCUGGUUCCUCUACCCUACACAGUCUGUCUGGUUCCUCUACCCUACACAGUCUCUGUAUGGUUCCUCUACCCUACACAGUCUGUCUGGUUCCUCUACCCUACACAGUCUGUCUGGUUCCUCUACCCUACACAGUCUGUCUGGUUCCUCUACCCUACACAGUCUGUCUGGUCCCUCUACCCUACACAGUCUGUCUGGUUCCUCUACCCUACACAAUCUGUCUGGUUCCUCUACCCUACACAGUCUGUCUGGUUCCUCUACCCUACACAGUCUCUGUAUGACGCUCCCUCGGUCUGUUUUACCCUCUCUUCUCCAGAACCUCCUAGUGAACUCGAUGUGACAUUAGAAGUUGUUUUUUAUUGUCGUUUUCUUUUAUUUGUACUCUGUUUUCAGCUUUAUGCUGUUCUUCAUUUUAUUAUCAUCUGUUCUCUCUAUCUAACUGUACAUUAUUAAUAUUAAAGUUGAGAAGAUUAUGCUUCAAGACAAA